rnacentral:rRNA from 1 species
UGGGGAAUCUUGGACAAUGGGGGCGAACCCUGAUCCAGCCAUGCCGCGUGAGUGAUGAAGGCCUUAGGGUCGUAAAGCUCUUUCGCCUGUGAAGAUAAUGACGGUAGCAGGUAAAGAAACCCCGGCUAACUCCGUGCCAGCAGCCGCGGUAAUACGGAGGGGGUUAGCGUUGUUCGGAAUUACUGGGCGUAAAGCGCACGUAGGCGGACCAGAAAGUUGGGGGUGAAAUCCCGGGGGCUCAACCCCGGAACUGCCUCCAAAACUAUUGGUCUAGAGUUCGAGAGAGGUGAGUGGAAUUCCAAGUGUAGAGGUGAAAUUCGUAGAUAUUUGGAGGAACACCAGUGGCGAAGGCGGCUCACUGGCUCGAUACUGACGCUGAGGUGCGAAAGUGUGGGGAGCAAACAGGAUUAGAUACCCUGGUAGUCCACACCGUAAAACGAUGAAUGCCAGUCGUCGGGUAGCAUGCUAUUCGGUGACACACCUAACGGAUUAAGCA